rnacentral:rRNA from 1 species
AACGAACGCUGGCGGCAUGCCUAACACAUGCAAGUCGAACGAGACCUUCGGGUCUAGUGGCGCACGGGUGCGUAACGCGUGGGAACCUGCCCUUAGGUUCGGAAUAACUCCCCGAAAGGGGUGCUAAUACCGGAUAAUGUCUUCGGACCAAAGAUUUAUUGCCUUUGGAUGGGCCCGCGUUGGAUUAGCUAGUUGGUAGAGUAAAAGCCUACCAAGGCGACGAUCCAUAGCUGGUCUGAGAGGAUGAUCAGCCACACUGGGACUGAGACACGGCCCAGACUCCUACGGGAGGCAGCAGUGGGGAAUAUUGGACAAUGGGCGAAAGCCUGAUCCAGCAAUGCCGCGUGAGUGAUGAAGGCCUUAGGGUUGUAAAGCUCUUUUACCCGGGAUGAUAAUGACAGUACCGGGAGAAUAAGCUCCGGCUAACUCCGUG